GUUCUCACACUUUCAGAGAAAAUGCCGACCCAGACUCUGGCCAGGCUGAAACACUGUCAUGCCUGAAGCCCGCUCUCUUGCAGUCCAAAAUGAGAUCCUUCUGAGCUGUCCCAAAACCACAGUUUUGGGAAUUUCAAGCACAGAAAUCUCAAUAUCUUGAGUACACAAACUCCAGCAUAGGCGUGGACACAGGGUUCCACCUGAGACCUAGGAAAAGGCUUCCAGGUUUAAAGCUGUAAGCAAGAAUUGGAGUUCACUGGUGGAAAGACAUUAAGUGAUUUUUUAAGCACUCUCGAACACACCCGUCCGUGACAAUUUGGCGUAGCGCUCAGGAUGGCAAGAAAUAUCACUUAACUACUCACAAAGCCACAGGAUAAAUCCAAGCCUCAGUUUCUCGGUGUCAGGAUAAUUGGCAUGACCAGGAAGCUGUGGAAGAAUAUUCAAACUGUGCUAGAGGCCAUUCAAAGGAUGACAAAGAUAAAGGAAUUAUUUGUGAAAUGUUCCAGUCUGGGAGCUGCUCACUGAUACCAAAAAGUGUCAAAGAGAACCAAGGUGUGAAGACUGAAGUGAAAGUGCGGAAGCAAAUGAGUUUUUGUUGUCCUUGCAAAUAGAACAGACGAGGAAGCAGCUACAGGAGGAACAGAGAGAGAAAAAA